UUUUCUUCCCAUAAACAUCAUCCUCACCAAUCUUACUACAAACAAUACUUAGUAUAAUGCCUAGCUCAUAUGUCAUUCUUGCUGAUCUAAAGUCCAGACGUUGUUCAUCCACCGUGGAGGUGCGGCUGCUCCGGUUCUGGGAAGCCAGAAGCGUCAAACACAGUGGCGAUCUCAUGGGAGUAGAUAUGCUCUUCCUAGAUUCUAAGGUGAUUCCGUACUUUAAAUUCAUGUAUAUCUUCGUUAUGAACACACCGCUGCGUCUAGAUUCGUAGUAAUCAAAAUUAUGCUUCCGAUAUUAUUUUAUCACUUUGGGAGAUGGUUGAAUCUGGAUGUCUACUAUGUUUUUCUGUUUUUCAUUGUUUUGAGGCAACACUCAUGCCAGCCACCGUCAAUUUUCACCGUCUAACCACUUACAAGAAUCUCUUGAAGGAUGGUUAUAUGUAUUCUUUGAGCGGUUUCGAUAUCACUAGGUGUAAUCAGAAUUGUAGACUGUCAGGCUCUCUUCUAUUGAUACGGUUCAGUGAUUCAACCCGUUUGGAUGAGUUAACCGAACAGGUUAUCCCAAUCCCUGAUUCAGAUUUAAAGAAACACUAAUUUGGGUAUUCUGGCGAGUAUAAGGUUCUUAGGAGUCCAAUGUCGUCAGAUGAAGUGAUGCUGAUGUGUGUAUGCGUAUGUGAUGGAAUUUGAGACAUGUGUGAUUUUCGUUCUGAGGUUUCAUGGAAGCUAGACAAG